rnacentral:rRNA from 1 species
UGAGUAACCUGCCCUUAACUCUGGGAUAAGCCUGGGAAACUGGGUCUAAUACCGGAUAUGACUCCUCAUCGCAUGGUGGGGGGUGGAAAGCUUUAUUGUGGUUUUGGAUGGACUCGCGGCCUAUCAGCUUGUUGGUGAGGUAAUGGCUCACCAUGGCGACGACGGGUAGCCGGCCUGAGAGGGUGACCGGCCACACUGGGACCGAGACACGGCCCAGACUCCUACGGGAGGCAG